UAAAAUAAAAUAAAAUAAAAUUAAAUAAAAUAAAAUAAAAUAAAAUAAAAUAAAAUAAAAUAAAAUAAAAUAAAAUGAAAUAAAAUAAAAUAAAAUAAAAUAAAAUAAAAUAAAAUAAAAUAAAAUUAAAUUAAAUUGAAAAAUAAUAAUCAAUAAAAUAAAGAUCCAGACAUUCAGGCAAUAUUCCACAGUCUUCUAUCUUCAGUUUGUUCUCACGAAUUUCAUUGCUAUUGAAAUUUAACACAAAUAAGUAUUGAGGAAUGCUACAGAAAAGACAGCCGUCUCUGACUCUGAAUACAAAAAGUACGUUCCAGUUAAGUAUGUAUAUCCAACUUAUUUAAAAUUUCAAUUCACACAAAUUCAAUACACUUUUUCUAUAUUUUCAUUUAGGUGCCUUAAAAUGCAUUCGUUGAAGCAGCGCUGUACACCAAAUUGCGUGCAUUACGCCAGCAUGUUGUUGGCCAAGACACACAUGGCUAAAAUGGUUAGUGAUAAAACAUGCAAGCAAAAAUAAAAACAAGAAACAUUUAUGUGAUCUCACAUUGAUCAUAUUUUUAUUUUGCAAACAUUUAUGGCAAGCUGAACUGCCGAUUACGGCAUACGACAACAACAACAACAACAAAUUGUUGUGAUGAAUCACAGUAAAUACGGCUGGUACACACUGGUGUCUAAGUAAACAACGAUCAGCGUUAAAAAUAAAUUUUAAAUUUGAUGCAAAUUGCAUAUUGCCUGUGUUCGUUUUGGCAUACAUAUCUACACACUGUAUUUAAUUUGCACAGUUAACGGUGAGAUUGAGCUUAAGCGAACAGAAUUUGCGUUGUAGUGCAUGUAAGCUUGCUGUUCGACUAAUGAUGACGUCAAAAAGCUCAAUUUUAAUUUAGCGAAUUUUACCAGACUUUGUUACAUCUAAUUGAUCGAGUGUGUGAUACUGUGCGUCCUGACUUCAAAUACCGGCCAAGCGAAAAAUUUAAUUUUAGAAAAAACUAUUUUUAACUAACUCUUGAAGAGAUUUGAAGAUAUUUAUGACAUAAAAGGGUUUUUGUUUAAGUCUUAAUUAAGUUUAAUAUAAAUGUUUAGUACUCUUUACAACAAAAACAAAAAAAAAACUAUUUAAUACCGUUAAAAAAUUUAAUUAAUUUUACAAAAAUAAAAAAUAAAAAAUAUCGUAGCAAAAAAGCUGGUUUUUGAAAAAAACAUAAACAAAAGUAAAGUACUUCAUUAUUAAUUAAUAUUUUUUUAUCGUUAGUUUUUAUUAUUGUUUAAAAAAUGCGACAACAUAUGUUUUACAUCUCCAUUUGUAAAUAUUGACUUUAAAAAACUUAUAUUUUCUUUCGUGUUUAAGAAAAAUUGAAAUGAAGUCUGAUUAAAGAUAAUUCUGAUAUUUAUUAUGUAAUAAUAUUUAUUAGACAUAAGAUUUAUUUAUUGAAAAUAUUUAUUUAUAAUUUUAAAUAUAUAGUUGAACUUCAAUAACUCGAAGUUCCCCAUAACUCGUAAUCUUGAAUUGGCAAUAGAAGUCAAAUUCAAAACAAACUCUCUCUAACUCGAAGUUUUUUUGUGGAUCAUGGUGAUUCGUGUUAGGCGAUUAUUAAAUGCUGAAAAUGUAUGUAAGCUUUGAUUAGAAUAGCUCACAAGUUGUAAAUUAAUUCAAAAGUUAUUGGGUUUCUAUCGUUAGUAAAAAACGGCAUUUUCGAAAACAUUAUUUGACCAAAAUUUUUUUAUAAUUUGCAAUUAUCGAAAUGUAAUGUUGUUUGAAAUGUCAACUUUUAUCUAAAACUUGUUCUAGCAGGUAGUUUUAAGGAUUUUUCUACAAUAUCAAGACUUUCUGUAAAUUUAUAUUAAAAAAAUUGCAUAUUUGCAUAAAAAAAUACGUUUUCGGCCGAGUUUGCAAGAAGUCAAUGAAGGUCAAAUAUAGCAUGUGACUAAAUAUCGCAUGCAACUUCUAUAUAUCGCAUGCGAUUUUUGAACAUUUAAAAAAUUCAAAAAUGUGACCAAAUCCAUGACCUGAUAAACAUUAAGUAUUUUUCAACCUCAAAGCCUUUCUCUGACAAUCAGAAUUGCUUCUACAACCAGGUUUAGAGUGUCGUCUUACGUUAAUACAGUGGAAAUUCCAUAACUCGAACUUCUAUAAGUCGAAGAACGCCAUAACUCGAACUUUUUAAUUGGCAAUAGCGUUUAGAAAUCAAAUUUCAUACAGAUUUCCUUCCAUAACUCGAACUUCUGUAACUCGAAGUUCUCCAUAAGUCGAACUGUUAAAUUGGCAAUAGAAGUCAAAUUUCAUACAAAUUUUCAUCCAUAAAUCGAACUUUUCGACCAGGGCACAAUACAAAAUUUAAAAUUUUACGUCAAGAGCCAAACAAAAGUAAAUUGCAACAAUCAAAAUUACAGAAUUUAUGUUUUAAGCUUAUAUACACAAAACAUGAUGUGAAGUAAAUAAAUAAGACAGUGUAUACAUCAAGCUUUUUCAAUAAGUGCAUGUUUUAAUGAAAAUUCUAUAACUCGAAGUCUCUCUAACAAGAAUUUUUUUUUGUAGAUUGUGGUGAUUCGAGUUACAGAAGUUCCACUGAAUGUAUAAUGUUUUAAAUAAAAUAGUUGCAUUCACGAUAUUUGAUAUUCCAUUUAAAAAAAGUAACAAGCCACCACUCAAAAAACAUACGUUUAAUAUUUUCUUUUAACAAAAAUCAAUACAUAUCAAUAAAAACUUGAUCAUGAACAAAAGUCCACUGUUUCCAUCACUUAAAUACAUGAAUUCUGACAGCCGGACAAAGUGCAGAAACGAU